rnacentral:rRNA from 1 species
GACGAACGCUGGCGGCGUGCCUAAUACAUGCAAGUAGAACGCUGAAGAGAGGAGCUUGCUCUUCUUGGAUGAGUUGCGAACGGGUGAGUAACGCGUAGGUAACCUGCCUUGUAGCGGGGGAUAACUAUUGGAAACGAUAGCUAAUACCGCAUAACAAUGGAUGACACAUGUCAUUUAUUUGAAAGGGGCAAUUGCUCCACUACAAGAUGGACCUGCGUUGUAUUAGCUAGUAGGUGAGGUAAUGGCUCACCUAGGCGACGAUACAUAGCCGACCUGAGAGGGUGAUCGGCCACACUGGGAAUGAGACACGGCCCAGACUCCUACGGGAGGCAGCAGGAGGGAAUCUUCGGCAAUGGGGGCAACCCUGACCGAGCAACGCCGCGUGAGUGAAGAAGGUUUUCGGAUCGUAAAGCUCUGUUGUAAGUCAAGAACGGGUGUGAGAGUGGAAAGUUCACACUGUGACGGUAGCUUACCAGAAAGGGACGGCUAACUACGUG